ACAGAUCUUUCAGUUGUCAUUAGGAUAGCGGAGUGUAUUGCAGUUUUCAUUGACUGUGAUCUUCAGUCCUUAAUUGAUUGCUGCGACAUCUGUGAAAAAGACUGCCGACAUCCGAAAACUUCGUUGGUAACUAUUUUCUUAAAUCAGAAUCUCGAGGUUUCUGUAAAGCAGCAACCUAUACUGAACAAGCAAAUGUGAUUGACUUGUGAACUGGCUAGAAUGGAAGCUCCUGCAUGUGACUGUAGCCUUCGGUUACUACUUUCUAAGCCUCGAUCAAACUGACCUGUUCGAUCUGCUUUCAUCCUAAAUGUGUUUUACCUACUUUGUUGGUCCCCUAGAUCUUUAACGUUAGCACGAACUCUAAGCUGUGCUAAUUUCAAUUCCUACUUUGUGUAAAGCUUCUUAAGAACUAUGUAGUUAAUUAGAAUGGGGGAGGUAGUACUGUAGUUGUGUAACUAAUAAAAAUUCAUAGCUACAAACUUCAGAGUUUAUGCAGCCAUCAGAAUCCACUCUAGUUUGUCUAGAAAUCACUAAUGGUGAACGGUGUAAUCCAAAUACUCUUCUGUCCGUAGUAAGCUUGACCUGGAUGUUCAGUUACUGACUUGCGGACAGAUUAGCUAUUUCAGUGUUUAAUUAAAUCCUUAAUU